CAGCAUUCACUACAAGGUCUCAUUGAGCAAUUUGCUGUUGUUCUUUUGGUUUCACUAGGAUGUGGAAGGGAAAUAAUCCUAGUGCUUUCUGUCCGUUUCUGUGGCAGUCAGAUUGAAUAGGGGAGAACAUCU